AGAAAGGGCGGGGUGGAGGAGGGGGAAGGGCGGGGGUGAUGCCGCGCGGUCGCAGGCUUGGGAUGGUGUUCGCGCCUCCGAGACCCGGACAGAGGCAAGCAGGGGCGCCGUGGGUGCCAGAGAGGCGGAAGAGGAGGCCUGAUGGGGUCAGCACAGUGUUUCCGGAGCCCCACGUAUCAACAGCCCAGUGCCGGGAGCGCCAGGGGCUCCAAGGAAACUAUCAGACCCAUUCCCUGUCCCCAGGAAGCUUACCAUCCAGCGGCACAGAGAAGGCUCACCAUGGACUCCAUUCAAGAACGAGGCAGGAUAGGAUGUGAAUAAGUGCAAGGUGUGAGUGACUGACAGUAAGUGCAAGGGGGUUCAGAGAAGUGGCAGCUCCAAGCCUGCUUCUGCUGAAGCUGGAGGGCUUAUCUGUCAAGAACCCCCAACUCAGGAAGCUCUGCUCCAAGUGAGCUGAGUAAGGAGAGUCUGCCUCCAAGUUGUUCCUCUGCAGGUGACUGUGCUCCAUGCUAAAUCAUUCCUUGCACGGGCAGAAGCUGUUUGGCAUUGCACCAGUGUCUGAUUUUGUUUGAAUAUGGUGCCUUUGGCUUAAUCAGUCAGACAUGCAUUCAACAACUAUUUAUUUAUUUAUUUAUUUAUUUAUUUAUUUAUUAUUUUGAGACAGAGUCUCGCUCUGUCGCCAGGCGGAGGUUGCAGUGAGCCGAGAUUGAGCCACUGCACUCCAGCCUGGCAACAGAGUGAGACUGUCUCAAAAAGUAAAUAAAUAGAAACUCUUGGUUCCAUGCGUAGUCUAGCAUUUUGUAGCACUUCUAAUCACGAAGUUAUUUUUAAUAUUUGUUUGGUCUGUUAUACAAAAUGUAGACUGGAUGGCUUAUAAACUACAGAAAUCUCUCACAGUUCUGUAGGCUAGAAAGUCUAAGAUGAAGAUGCCAGCAGCCUGCUUCCUGGUUCAUACAAGGUCAUCUUCUCACUGUAACCUCACAGUGAGAGGAAGGGCCUAGGGGUGACUCUGGGAUCUCUUUUAUGAGGCACUAAUCCCAUUAAUGGGGGCCCCCCACCCUCAUGGCCUAAUCACCUCCCAAAGGCCCCACGAUUGCCUUGGGUGUUAGGAUUUCCACAUAUGAAUUUUAGGGGAACACAGACGUUCAGGCCAUAGCAAAUAUCUUGCCCAAAUAUCUCUAGUUCCAUCCUUUUGGUCACUCUCAGACCAGAACAUUUACUGAGUGAUUACUAUGUCCCACAAAAUUCUUAUUUAACCCUCAGAAAAACCGUCUGGGGGAAGCAUUGUUAUCACUCCUAUUUCAUGAGCAGUUAUGUAACUUGCCCCAGAUAAGACUUGGUUAUGGCACAGAUUCUGUGUUGGAGCCUUCAGACCACUCUACUUCCCAAGCAGGGGAGGAACAGAACAUUAAAGAUUUUCUUGGCCUUGGCUUUCAUUUCUUCAUCGUGGUUCUGAAAGGAAAAUUGGCUACAGUCUUAAAUGUAUGUGUGGGCCCACGCUAGAAGCUCAGCUCUCAGUGCCAGCCACACUGAGCCCUGGUCUCCCUAACUUCCGGGCCUUUACUCUGCUUGUCAUUGGGCUGAUAACCAAGAUCCAGCCUAGAGCACAAGAAGACAAACGCUGCGUGAUCUCGUGUGUAGAACCUAACAAAGUGGAACUCACAGAAGCAGAGAGUAGAAUGGUGGUUGCCUGUUGGAAUGGGGAGAUGGUCAGAGAAUGCAAACUUUCAGUUGGAUGGGAGGAAGAAGUUCCAGAGAUCUAUUGUGCCACAUGGUGACAAUAGUUAAUAACAAUGUACUGGGCGGGGGGUGGUGGCCUACGCCUGUAAUCCCAGCACUUUGGGAAGCUGAGGCAGACAGAUCACUUGAGGUCAGGAGUUCUAGACCAGCUUGUCCAACAUGGUGAAACCCCGUCUCUACUAUAAAACUACAAAAUUAGCCAGGUGUGGUGGUGUGCGCCUGUAAUCUCAGCUACUUGGGAGGCUGAAUCGCUUGAACCCAGGAGGUGGAGGUUGCAGUGAGUCGAGACUGCGCCACUGCCCUCCAGCCUGGGUGACACAGUGAGACUCUGUUUCAAAAAAACAAAAAAAGCAAUGUACUGUAUACUUGAAAAUUGCUCACAGAGAUUUUAAAUGUUCUCACCAUUACAAAAUGAUAAAUAUGUGACAUAAUGCAUAUGUUAAUUAGCCCGAUUUAGUGAUUCCACAGUGUAUACAUAUAACAAAACAUGUUGUACACCAUAAAUGUAUACUAUUUUUAUUUGCCAAUUAAAUAUAUUUUUUUAAAGUU
rnacentral:lncRNA from 10 species